GAUGAAGAACGUAGCGAAAUGCGAUAAGUAGUGUGAAUUGCAGAAUUCAGUGAAUCAUCGAAUCUUUGAACGCACAUUGCGCCCCUUGGUAUUCCAUGGGGCAUGCCUGUUCGAGCGUCAUUUGUACCUUCAAGCUCUGCUUGGCGUUGGGUGUUUGUCUCGCCUCUGCGUGUAGACUCGCCUCAAAACAAUUGGCAGCCGGCGUAUUGAUUUCGGAGCGCAGUACAUCUCGCGCUUUGCACUCAUAACGACGACGUCCAAAAGUACAUUUUUACACUCUUGACCUCGGAUCAGGUAGGGAUACCCGCUGAACUUAAGCAUAUCAAUAAGCGGAGGA
rnacentral:misc_RNA from 1 species